rnacentral:lncRNA from 1 species
GCAAGAAUGAGGCCACGGAGCAUGCGGAAGGAAGAGAGAAGUGGCCAGAGGACAAGGAGGUGUGAGAAGCUGAAGAUGAGAAAGGGCAAAUGAGAGGUCGGAAAACCAGGAGACGGGGAUCUCCUAGAAACCAGGGCAGGGCGGGGAGAACUGUCAUGGUGGGGGCCUGGAGUGUCCCCCAAAGGCUCAUGUACUUGAAGGCUUGGUCCCCAGUGCAGCAGUGUCCAGAGGGGGCUUUUAAGGAAUGAUUAGAUCGUGAGGGCUCAAACCUCGUGAGUGGAUCGAUCCAUGUAUUUGAUGGGUUCAUAGUUUGAAUGGAUGGGGCCUCGUUGGAGGAGCAGGUCACUGGAGGUGUGCCUGGAAAGGUCUGUCUCAGCUCCAACAGCCCCCUUCUCUCUCGCCCUCUGCUUCCCUCUGUGGUUAGAGGGUAGAUGGGCGGAGGCCUGGUCCUGAGACCCACUUCCACCUGUGAGAGUCUGAGAAACACUUUGACUCUUGUCCAGUGGCUGUGUCAGCGAUGGUUCGUCCUGUUCAAGACGACACCCAAGAGCUUUCGCCACAGAGACAAGUGGCCUGUUUAAAUCUGUCCUCAAAUAAUAAAACACGAGCAAAGAUACAACUUGCAAAAAUAUGGCUCCCUGAUCAAACAUGGGCUGAGUCACAGCGGAUGGCUCCAGACACCCAUCCUCUCAGGCUGGUGGCGCUGGGGAAGCGAAGUCGGCCUCUGUGUCUCCUCCUGUGUGUGUUUGCAGUUGCUUCCUCCUCGGCUCCUCUGCCAGAGCCCAGCGGGCCCGGAGGUGCGGUUUGGUGGCA